rnacentral:lncRNA from 1 species
AGAGUCAGUCUGCCGGUCCAGUUCUAUGACAGUUGAGGGUGGAUGCCUUCCACCCGACAUUGAGGUCCUAGACUCGACUGUCUGGACGUCAGUUUAGGGUUGGAUUGGGUUUCUACUUGUGGUGCUACCUUGGUCCGUAGAGACAAGGUAGUCAGGUUCAGAGGACAGGAUGGGUCAAAGAUUUUCUUCUGAGGGGACACAGUAGGGAUGCCUAGAGGUUUGAUGUCAGCCGGUAAGGUUCGUAGGGUACGUAGGAGGAAUUGUCAGAGGGUUCUAGCUCUUGUUUGAGAGUUUAGCAGUCAGGUCGGGGAACCAGCCUCAGUGCCAGUCAUUAGAGAGAGAAUUCGUGGAUGUAUUCCCAGGCGAGUUGUCAGGAUUACCAUCUGUCAGGGAGUUAGAGUUUGGUUUAGGAGUGGUGUCUGGACGCAGAACCAUUUCUACCCUUCCCUAUAGGAUGGCGCCUGCAUAGAGAGAGGUAGCAGUAGAGUAGAGGCGAGACUUGGUAGACAAGGAGUUUUGUCCGACCUAGUACCUCACUCUGGAUUGUUCCAGUAUGGUUGUGGGAAACGAAGGAUGAAUCCUUGAGACUUCGUAACGACUGUAAGCAGUUGACUAAGGUCACUACCAAGAGCAGGUAUUCCCAUGCAAGAUGGAUGAUCU